rnacentral:lncRNA from 1 species
AAAGAAUUAAGAAUUUGAGACAUACAUUAAUUAGUGAUUAAUUUCUAAAUACUUCCGAUCAAAGGAUCGUCACAGAGGACAGUGAUCAAUUCAUUUGAGAUCGAUGCACGGUUCACCUCUCUUGUGGGCAAAUGAGUUUCGGAUCUGUGGUGUAGAGACAGUGGGAUGAAGGUAAGGAUGGUUGUUAGAGAAUAAUUUACACUGAGCAUGACCAACAUGAGA